CCUACGGGGGGCAGCAGUGGGGAAUAUUGCACAAUGGGGGAAACCCUGAUGCAGCAACGCCGCGUGAGCGAUGAAGGCCUUCGGGUCGUAAAGCUCUGUCCUAAGGGAAGAAUACUGACGGUACCUUAGGCGGAAGCCCCGGCUAACUACGUGCCAGCAGCCGCGGUAAUACGUAGGGGGCGAGCGUUAUCCGGAAUUACUGGGCGUAAGAGGUGCGUAGGCGGCCCUUCAAGUCAGAGGUGAAAGGCUACGGCUCAACCGUAGUAAGCCUUUGAAACUGUAGGGCUUGAGUGCAGGAGAGGAGAGUGGAGUUCCCAGUGUGGCGGUGAAAGGCGUAGAUAUUGGGAGGAACGCCAGUUGCGAAGUCGGCUCUCUGGACUGUAACUGACGCUGAAGCACGAAAGCGUGGGGGGAGAACAGGAUUAGAUACCCUGGUAGUC
rnacentral:rRNA from 1 species